UGUUGUAAUUAGUAUCAUCCUCUCUCUCUCUCUCUCUCUCUCUCUAUAUAUAUAUAUAUACGCUUUGUGCUAUCGAGUUUUUCGGCUGUUGAAUAAAAGGAUGUAUAGUUGAGAUGAUAAUGAUCUUCUAAGAUUGAGUAGGUGGUUGAUUAAAUAUUAUAAUCUAACGGAUGAAAAUAAUAAAAUGGUUGAUUUAACGGCAGAAUACUCGAUAGCUCUCUAUAUAUAUGGACUAUCUCUCUCUCUCUAUAUAUAUUGAACCAAUUCUUACGUGCUUGCUUGGAUGAAACUCCGACCAUGAUAAGUAGGUAACCUCCAGCUAUCUGCGAAUUUCGAUAUUGGAUGUACCGAAGCUCACUAUCUCGUCUCAUAGCUCAUAGGAAGGCGCAACGCCUCGCAAUAACUUUUAGAUUUGAUUUGUCUUGUCGAACAAUGUGUCUUUACAAACAGCGCGAGUUUGCUGAGAUUGUUAAUUUCAGGUUCUUAUUUUUCUAUUCCAAAUACGAUUUAAAUUGUAAA
rnacentral:lncRNA from 1 species